rnacentral:lncRNA from 1 species
UUUUUUUUUUUUGUCUGACUUUUCCUAAAAUAUGCUAAUUUUAAGAAAGUUUUAAUAAAGACAUUUAUGAAAAAUGGUUGGUUCUGAUCCAAAAUUCUUGAUCCAGAAUUGUUGUUCUGAUUUACUGUUGAAUUUGGACCACAAAAAUCAACAGCUAUAUCCUGUGCUGGGUGGAUUAAAAAGCACAGUAGACUCAGACCAAGAGAAUGAAGAAGCAAAAGUCACCUUUACGCCUCCUAGGAUUAGGAUGCUUAGCGAAUGCUCCUUAACUCACAUCAGCUCCUUCCCCUAGCUACCGGAGCACAGCUUCACACCUCAAAAUAGCCAGAGCAGUGUUUCUGGUCCACAGGCUUCCUCCCAAACACCAUGGAUUGUGCUACAUGUUGUGAAUGGGAAGCUACAGAUUACCUACGUAACUUCAUUCCUUCUCCACUCCUGGUACUUUGGGGAGGUAAGGGAAAAAGUAAAAAUAAAAAUGAAAAAAAAAAAAGGGGGGGGGGGGAUUUUAUUUUGGGGCAAUUGAAUUCCUGACAUGUUUCAAAAGCAAAGCCUUAGUAGCUAUACGGGCAUGCUCUAUUUUUACUUUUUUAACAGUGAAAUCUGCUAAGGCUGCAUCUCUUCAAAAGAAAGUUAGAGAUACUGUUAUUUUUCCACAAGCUCUGAAAAUUACAUAGUAGAGCCCUGUGAACCACUUUCUGUACAAACUGUGGAAUACUUGCUGUCUUAAAAGCAAUGCAUAAAUAUGAAUUACUAGUUUAUAAAUAUGUAUUGUAUUACAAAUGAAGAAAACAACUGAACAGAGGACCUCAUAAUUAUUAUGAUCCUUUAUUUAAAAAUAAAAAAGAAUUACAUUAAUUCCACAGGGAAUUGCUUUUCAUGUAAGCAUGGGAAGAUAGUAUAGCAAAAUAUUUUCUAGUUCUUUGUAUUCAAAUGUAGCAUUCAUAGGUUUGGGGUUUUUUUUUGUUUUGGUUUAGGUUUUGUUUAGUUCUGUGAUUUACAGAGACAGAAUAAGCUCUCUGGGUUGCUGGGAGAAGGAAGGAAGAAAAGAAGAGAGGGAUUUUUUUUUUUUAUCCAUCCCCAUGGCUACAAUGGUCACACAAGUCCACAGCAUCUCACAUUUUGAUUAUUGUAUUAUCUUUCUUUCUAAGGCUGGUAAAUUCACCAGUGCUCAGUUGUAUCCAUUUUUUCAAGCUGUUGCUUUAAGUAUGCCAUUCACAUAUUGCAUCUCUUGUUUUCUACUGCAUUAAAAGAAGCAAGUGUGGAAACAUGAUUGUAAUUUUAUGCAAGUUCUUCCUAUCAAGGAAGCUGAUCAGCUA